UACCCCUACGGGACGCAGCAGUGAGGAAUAUUGGUCAAUGGGCGGGAGCCUGAACCAGCCAAGUCGCGUGAAGGAAGAAGGUACUUAGUAUUGUAAACUUCUUUUGUCGGGGAACAAAGGCGGAGACGCGUCUCCGGAUGAGUGUACCCGAAGAAAAAGCAUCGGCUAACUCCGUGCCAGCAGCCGCGGUAAUACGGGGGAUGCGAGCGUUAUCCGGAUUUAUUGGGUUUAAUGGGUGCGCUGGCGGGGGAUUAAGUCAG
rnacentral:rRNA from 1 species